GACGAACGCUGGCGGCGUGCUUAACACAUGCAAGUCGAACGGAAAGGCCCUGCUUUUGUGGGGUGCUCGAGUGGCGAACGGGUGAGUAACACGUGAGUAACCUGCCCUUGACUUUGGGAUAACUUCAGGAAACUGGGGCUAAUACCGGAUAGGAGCUCCUGCUGCAUGGUGGGGGCUGGAAAGUUUCGGCGGUUGGGGAUGGGCUCGCGGCUUAUCAGCUUGUUGGUGGGGUAGUGGCUUACCAAGGCUUUGACGGGUAGCCGGCCUGAGAGGGUGACCGGCCACAUUGGGACUGAGAUACGGCCCAGACUCCUACGGGAGGCAGCAGUGGGGAAUAUUGCACAAUGGGCGGAAGCCUGAUGCAGCAACGCCGCGUGCGGGAUGACGGCCUUCGGGUUGUAAACCGCUUUCGCCUGUGACGAAGCGUGAGUGACGGUAAUGGGUAAAGAAGCACCGGCUAACUACGUG
rnacentral:rRNA from 1 species